GUGCCAGCCGCCGCGGUAAUACAGAGGGUGCAAGCGUUGUUCGGAAUUACUGGGCGUAAAGCGCGUGUAGGCGGCCUGGCAAGUUGGGUGUGAAAUCCCUCGGCUCAACCGAGGAACUGCAUUCAAAACUACUAGGCUAGAGUAUCGGAGGGGGUGGCGGAAUUCCCGGUGUAGAGGUGAAAUUCGUAGAUAUCGGGAGGAACACCUGUGGCGAAGGCGGCCACCUGGAAGAUUACUGACGCUGAGACGCGAAAGCGUGGGGAGCAAACAGGAUUAGAUACCCUGGUAGUCC
rnacentral:rRNA from 1 species